rnacentral:rRNA from 1 species
GGGAUAAGCGGAAGAAAUUCCGUCUAAUACCGCGUAAUAACUCCGAGAGGCAUCUCCUGGGGUUUAAAGGGUAACACCGGCUACGGAUGGCCAUGCGGCGCAUUAGCUAGUUGGCGGGGUAACGGCCCACCAAGGCGACGAUGCGUAGGGGUUCUGAGAGGAAGGUCCCCCACACUGGUACUGAGACACGGACCAGACUCCUACGGGAGGCAGCAGUGAGGAAUAUUGGUCAAUGGGCGCGAGCCUGAACCAGCCAAGUCGCGUGAGGGAAGACGGUCCUAUGGAUUGUAAACCUCUUUUGUCGGGGAGCAAAAGACGCCACGCGUGGCGUUCCGAGAGUACCCGAAGAAAAAGCAUCGGCUAACUCCGUGCCAGCAGCCGCGGUAAUACGGAGGAUGCGAGCGUUAUCCGGAUUUAUUGGGUUUAAAGGGUGCGCAGGCGGAAGAUCAAGUCAGCGGUAAAAUUGAGAGGCUCAACCUCUUCGAGCCGUUGAAACUGGUUUUCUUGAGUGAGCGAGAAGUAUGCGGAAUGCGUGGUGUAGCGGUGAAAUGCAUAGAUAUCACGCAGAACUCCGAUUGCGAAGGCAGCAUACCGGCGCUCAACUGACGCUCAUGCACGAAAGUGUGGGUAUCGAACAGGAUUAGAUACCCUGGUAGUCCACACAGUAAACGAUGAAUAAUAAUUGUUCGGG